GUGCUCUCUUCAGUAGCACAUAUAAUGAAAUUGGAAUGAGACAGAGAAGAUUUAACAUGGUCCUACACAAGAAUGCUAUGCAAAUUCGUGAAGCGUACCAUAAACAA
rfam:Erinaceus europaeus unplaced genomic scaffold scaffold00018, whole genome shotgun sequence